GAAGAAGAAGCAUGCGGUGUGCCUAACCUAUGCGAGUCGAGCGGUUUCAGUUUCAACGCAAGGCGGAGACUGAGAUAGCGGCGAACGGGUGAGUAACGCGUGAGUAACCUACCUCGGAGCCUGGGAUAACUGGCCGAAAGGCCGGCUAAUACCGGAUACGUUCCUGCUUCCGCCUGGUUGGAGGAAGAGAGUCCCGCGGCAACGCGGGACGCUCCGAGAUGGACUCGCGUCCUAUCAGCUAGUUGGCGGGGUAGCGGCCCACCAAGGCGACGACGGGUAGCUGGUCUGAGAGGAUGAUCAGCCACACUGGGACUGAGACACGGCCCAGACUCCUACGGGAGGUUGCAAGGGGGAAUAUUGCGCAAUGGGCGAAAGCCUGACGCAGCGACGCCGCGUGAGGGAUGAAGGCCUUCGGGUUGUAAACCUCUGUUGAGGGGGACGAAAAAAAUGACGGUACCCCUAGAGGAAGCCCCGGCUAACUCUGUGCCAGCAGCCGCGGUAAGACGGAGGGGGCAAGCGUUGUCCGGAUUUACUGGGCGUAAAGCGCGCGUAGGCGGCUUUCUAAGUCGGCGGUGAAAUUUCGCGGCUCAACUGCGAAACGGCCGUCGAUACUGGAGAGCUUGAGUUCGGGAGAGGAGAGUGGAAUUCCUGGUGUAGCGGUGAAAUGCGUAGAUAUCAGGAAGAACACCCGUGGCGAAGGCGGCUCUCUGGACCGAUACUGACGCUGAGGCGCGAAAGCUAGGGGAGCGAACGGGAUUAGAUACCCCGGUAGUCCUAGCCGUAAACGAUGGUCACUAGGUGUUGGGGGUAUCGACCCCCCCCAGUGCCGCAGCUAACGCAUUAAGUGUCCCGCCUGGGGAGUACGGCCGCAAGGUUG
rnacentral:rRNA from 1 species